UGGGGAAUAUUGCACAAUGGGCGCAAGCCUGAUGCAGCCAUGCCGCGUGUGUGAAGAAGGCCUUCGGGUUGUAAAGUACUUUCAGCGGGGAGGACGGGAGUAAAGUUAAUACCUUUGCCCAUUGACGUUACCCGCAGAAGAAGCACCGGCUAACUCCGUGCCAGCAGCCGCGGUAACACGGAGGGUGCAAGCGAUAAUCGGAAUUACUGGGCGUAAAGCGCACGCAGGCGGUUUGUUAAGUCAGAUGUGAAAUCCCCGGGCUCAACCUGGGAACUGCAUCUGAGACUGGCAAGCUGGAGUCUCGUAGAGGGGGGUAGAAUUCCAGGUGUAGCGGUGAAAUGCGUGGAGAUCUGGAGGAAUACCUGUGGCGAAGGCGGCCCCCUGGACGAAGACUGACGCUCAGGUGCGAAAGCGUGGGGAGCAAACAGG
rnacentral:rRNA from 1 species